GACGAACGCUGGCGGCGUGCCUAAUACAUGCAAGUAGAACGCUGAAGAGAGGAGCUUGCUCUUCUUGGAUGAGUUGCGAACGGGUGAGUAACGCGUAGGUAACCUGCCUUGUAGCGGGGGAUAACUAUUGGAAACGAUAGCUAAUACCGCAUAACAAUGGAUGACACAUGUCAUUUAUUUGAAAGGGGCAAUUGCUCCACUACAAGAUGGACCUGCGUUGUAUUAGCUAGUAGGUGAGGUAAUGGCUCACCUAGGCGACGAUACAUAGCCGACCUGAGAGGGUGAUCGGCCACACCGGGACUGAGACACGGCCCAGACUCCUACGGGAGGCAGCAGUAGGGAAUCUUCGGCCAUGGGGGCAACCCUGACCGAGCAACGCCGCGUGAGUGAAGAAGGUUUUCGGAUCGUAAAGCUCUGUUGUAAGUCAAGAACGGGUGUGAGAGUGGAAAGUUCACACUGUGACGGUAGCUUACCAGAAAGGGACGGCUAACUACGUG
rnacentral:rRNA from 1 species